GAAAUGCGAUAAGUAAUGUGAAUUGCAGAAUUCAGUGAAUCAUCGAAUCUUUGAACGCACAUUGCGCCCGGUAGUACUCUACCGGGCAUGCCUGUUCGAGCGUCAUUUCAACCCUCAAGCCCUGCUUGGUGUUGGGGCCCUACGGCUGCCGUAGGCCCUGAAAGGAAGUGGCGGGCUCGCUGCAACUCCGAGCGUAGUAAUCACUUAUCUCGCUAGGGAGGUCGCGGCGCGCUCCUGCCGUUAAAGGCCCCAUCUUUAACCAAGGUUGACCUCGGAUCAGGUAGGAAUACCCGCUGAACUUAA
rnacentral:misc_RNA from 1 species